GACGAACGCUGGCGGCGUGCCUAAUACAUGCAAGUAGAACGCACAGUUUAUACCGUAGCUUGCUACACCAUAGACUGUGAGUUGCGAACGGGUGAGUAACGCGUAGGUAACCUGCCUGGUAGCGGGGGAUAACUAUUGGAAACGAUAGCUAAUACCGCAUAAUAUUGAUUAUUGCAUGAUAAUUGAUUGAAAGAUGCUAUUGCAUCACUACCAGAUGGACCUGCGUUGUAUUAGCUAGUAGGUGAGGUAACGGCUCACCUAGGCGACGAUACAUAGCCGACCUGAGAGGGUGAGCGGCCACACUGGGACUGAGACACGGCCCAGACUCCUACGGGAGGCAGCAGUAGGGAAUCUUCGGCAGUGGACGAAAGUCUGACCGAGCAACGCCGCGUGAGUGAAGAAGGUUUUCGGAUCGUAAAGCUCUGUUGUAAGAGAAGAACGGGUGUGAGAGUGGAAAGUUCACACUGUGACGGUAUCUUACCAGAAAGGGACGGCUAACUACGUG
rnacentral:rRNA from 1 species